UACAGAGGGGGCAAGCGUUGUUCGGAAUUACUGGGCGUAAAGGGCGCGUAGGCGGCCUGCUAAGUCGAACGUGAAAUCCCCGAGCUCAACUCGGGAACUGCGUCCGAUACUGGCAGGCUUGAAUCCGGGAGAGGGAUGCGGAGUUCCAGGUGUAGCGGUGAAAUGCGUAGAUAUCUGGAGGAACACCGGUGGCGAAGGCGGCGUCCUGGACCGACACUGACGCUGAGGAGCGAAAGCCAGGGGAGCAAACGGG
rnacentral:rRNA from 1 species